rnacentral:rRNA from 1 species
GACGGAGGGUGCUAGCGUUGUUCGGAAUUACUGGGCGUAAAGAGCUCGUAGGCGGUUCGUCGCGUCGGCUGUGAAAUCCCGAGGCUCAACCUCGGGUCUGCAGUCGAUACGGGCGGACUGGAGUUCGGCAGGGGAGACUGGAAUUCCUGGUGUAGCGGUGAAAUGCGCAGAUAUCAGGAGGAACACCGGUGGCGAAGGCGGGUCUCUGGGCCGAUACUGACGCUGAGGAGCGAAAGCGUGGGGGAGCGAACAGG